rnacentral:rRNA from 1 species
GGAUCAUUACAAGAACGCCCGGGCUUCGGCCUGGUUAUUCAUAACCCUUUGUUGUCCGACUCUGUUGCCUCCGGGGCGACCCUGCCUUCGGGCGGGGGCUCCGGGUGGACACUUCAAACUCUUGCGUAACUUUGCAGUCUGAGUAAACUUAAUUAAUAAAUUAAAACUUUUAACAACGGAUCUCUUGGUUCUGGCAUCGAUGAAGAACGCAGCGAAAUGCGAUAAGUAAUGUGAAUUGCAGAAUUCAGUGAAUCAUCGAAUCUUUGAACGCACAUUGCGCCCCCUGGUAUUCCGGGGGGCAUGCCUGUUCGAGCGUCAUUUCACCACUCAAGCCUCGCUUGGUAUUGGGCAACGCGGUCCGCCGCGUGCCUCAAAUCGUCCGGCUGGGUCUUCUGUCCCCUAAGCGUUGUGGAAACUAUUCGCUAAAGGGUGUUCGGGAGGCUACGCCGUAAAACAACCCCAUUUCUAAGGUUGACCUCGGAUCAGGUAGGGAUACCCGCUGAACUUAAGCAUAUCAAUAAGCGGAGGAAAAGAAACCAACAGGGAUUGCUCUAGUAACGGCGAGUGAAGCAGCAAUAGCUCAAAUUUGAAAUCUGGCGUCUUCGACGUCCGAGUUGUAAUUUGUAGAGGAUGCUUCUGAGUGGCCACCGACCUAAGUUCCUUGGAACAGGACGUCAUAGAGGGUGAGAAUCCCGUAUGCGGUCGGAAAGGCGCUCUAUACGUAGCUCCUUCGACGAGUCGAGUUGUUUGGGAAUGCAGCUCUAAAUGGGAGGUAAAUUUCUUCUAAAGCUAAAUAUUGGCCAGAGACCGAUAGCGCACAAGUAGAGUGAUCGAAAGAUGAAAAGCACUUUGGAAAGAGAGUUAAAAAGCACGUGAAAUUGUUAAAAGGGAAGGGAUUGCAACCAGACUUGCUCGCGGUGUUCCGCCGGUCUUCUGACCGGUCUACUCGCCGCGUUGCAGGCCAGCAUCGUCUGGUGCCGCUGGAUAAGACUUGAGGAAUGUAGCUCCCUCGGGAGUGUUAUAGCCUCUUGUGAUGCAGCGAGCGCCGGGCGAGGUCCGCGC